rnacentral:ncRNA from 3 species
UGAUCCUUCGAUGUCGGCUC